CCUACGGGAGGCAGCAGUGAGGAAUAUUGGUCAAUGGGCUUACGCCUGAACCAGCCAAGUCGCGUGAGGGAAGACUGCCCUAUGGGUUGUAAACCUCUUUUGUCAGGGAGCAACGCCGGCUACGUGUAGCCGGACUGAGAGUACCUGAAGAAAAAGCAUCGGCUAACUCCGUGCCAGCAGCCGCGGUAAUACGGAGGAUGCGAGCGUUAUCCGGUUUUUUUGGGUUUAAAGGGUGCGUAGACGGAAUGCCAAGUCAGCGGUAAAAUCGCGGGGCUCAACCUCGCACCGCCUUUGAAACUGGCGUUCUUGAGUGGGCGAGAGGUAUGCGGAAUGCGUGGUGUAGCGGUGAAAUGCAUAGAUGUCACGCAGAACUCCGAUUGCGAAGGCAGCAUACCGGCGCCCAACUGACGCUGAAGCACGAAAGCGUGGGUAUCGAACAGGAUUAGAUACCCCUGUAGUC
rnacentral:rRNA from 1 species